GCUGCGGGCGGAGAGUCAGGGAAGCCGCGCCUGCCGCCACGUCCGCUCUCCUGGUUUCGGUUUCCGAGUGUCUCCAUUUUGCCUGCGCAGACCCGAUGUCCACAGAGUGAAGUCUCUGAGAUCUGAGCCACCCCAGCCACCACUCAGGGCAAAGACUGUGUCUGUGUCCGUUCAGUUUUCUGGAGGUCUCCGGCGAGGACAGGCGAGAUUCUGAGUCACUAUUGAGAGGAAUGAGCCGGCGACCGCCCGGCAGCACCUCUACUGCAAGAACUCUGAAAGCAAUGAAGAAAGCCCUCCGAAAUGAAGACAUCUCAUGGUACUCGGAGCCCUGCUAAGUGGAUGGAAGCUGGGUGAGAGCCUGGCUGUCAACUUCUGGGACAUGGCUGUGCACCCUGUGUCUGCUGAGGUCAUCCACCAGGUGGAGGAGUCGCUUGAUGAGGAUGAGAAGGAGAUGAUGCUUUUCUUAUGUAGAGAUGUGUCAGAGAACCUGGCCCCACCCAACCUGAGGGAGCUCCUGGACAGCUUAAGUGAGAGAGGUCAGCUCUCUGUUGCUACCUUGGCUGAACUGCUCUAUAGAGUGAGGCGCUUCGACCUGCUCAAGAGGGUAUUGAAGACAGACAAAGCAGCCGUGGAGGCUCACCUUCGCAGAAACCCUCACCUUGUUUCUGACUAUAGGGUGCUGAUGAUGGAGAUUGGUGAGAAUUUGGAUAAAUCUGAUGUUUCCUCGUUAGUUUUCCUUACAAGAGAUUACACAGGCCGAGGCAAGGUAACCAAGGACAAGAGUUUCUUGGAUCUGGUGAUUGAACUGGAGAAACUGAAUCUGAUUGCUUCAGAUCAAUUGAGUUUAUUAGAAAAAUGCCUGAAGAAUAUCCACAGAAUAGACUUGAAGACAAAAAUUCAGAAGUACAUGCAGUCUGGCCAAGGAGCAGCAUCAAAUUAUAUGAACUCUCUCCAGGCUUCUCUCCCAAACUUGAGUAUCAGAGAGCCUUCAUAUAGUUCAAGGUUCCAGAAUGGGCGAAGUAAAGAACACAGAUUUGUGGAACACCUUGGCAUUCAAAGAAAACCAGUGAAGACAUCCAUCCAGGAAUCAGGAGCUUUUCUGCCUCCGCACAUAUAUGAAGAGAGUUACAGGAUGCAGAGCAAGCCCCUAGGGAUCUGCUUGAUCAUCGAUUGCAUCGGCAAUGACACAGAGUAUCUUCAAGAGACCUUCACUUCCUUGGGCUAUUAUGUCCAGCCUUUUUUGUUUCCUAGUGCAUAUGAUAUACCCCAGAUUCUCAACCGAUUUGUCCAUCUGCGCCAACACCGAGACUAUGACAGCUUUAUAUGUGUUAUAGUGAGCCGAGGAGCCUCCCAAAAAAUAAUGGGCGUGGAUCUGGCUCACUCAGGGUUGACCUUUGAUUGUGUCAAGAGGAUGUUCAUGGGGGACAUGUGCCCUUUUCUCAUAGGGAAACCAAAGCUCUUCUUUAUUCAGAACUAUGAGGUGAUAGGUAGCCAGUCAAAGGACAGCAGCCUAGAGGUUGAUGGGCCAGCAAUAAGAAACUGGGACUCUAAGGCCCUGUGUCGUGGCCCCAGCAUGAUUCACCAGGAAGCCGACUUCUUCUGGAGCCUGUGCACAGCGGAUGUGUCCCAGUUGGAGCAGCCCUCCAGCUCACCCUCCUUGUACCUGCAGAACCUCUCCCAGCAGCUGCAGCAAGAAAGGAAAUGCUCACUCGUGGAUCUCCAUGUCAAUCUCAUGGACAAAGUUUAUGCCUGGAACAGCAGAGCUUCUCCUAAGGAGAAAUAUUAUCUGAGCCUGCAGCAUACUCUGCGAAAGAAACUCAUCUUAUCUACAUGAAAACCUGAUGUUUUCCACGUUCUUGGGAUGUAGAUAAGGGUGGCUUGGAGCUGGCAAACCUCCCGAUGGCUCAGGAACAGCCCUUGAAGGUCACACCUGCUCUGGUCUGGUGCAAGCCCUGCCGCCAUGGACCACGCCACUCCUCCCCACUGUGAUGGCCAAGUGAAUCUCUCUUCCUUAAGUUCCUGUGUCAGAUGUUUUGGCACUGUGUAGAGAAUGAUUUGGAGACACAACCAGAUGUGAUGUAUUUUCACCAACCCUACAACCCAAGCAGGGCUUGGUUCAAAGGAAACAACAACAAAAGCCCACAAGGCACCAUGCAAGGGUGGAAAAGGACACUCCCAGAGCCAAGCUGCAGGGAAGACUCUGAGACCAGAGCAUCUGCCUGGAAGAGGCAGAAACCGACUGAGCUGCCUGGAAGGUUUAGACCAACCGAGGCACCUGGAUAGGACUGUGUCCAAGUUGGUGACGGUGUGCAGGAUGCACAGCAUGCUCCAGGUUCCCAGCUUUGUGAGCUCUCACCCAUGCUCGGAUGGGCUUUGGUGCUGCAGCUGCCAUGGAGUCAUUUCUACUCAUGUAAGGAACCCC